GAUGAACGCUGGCGGCGUGCCUAAUACAUGCAAGUCGAGCGAACAGACGAUGAUCUUGCUCCGCUGACGUUAGCGGCGGACGGGUGAGUAACACGUGGAUAACCUACCUAUAAGACUGGGAUAACUUCGGGAAACCGGAGCUAAUACCGGAUAAUAUAUUGAACCGCAUGGGUCAAUAGUGAAAGACGGCUUUGCUGUCACUAAUAGAUGGAUCCGCGCCGCAUUAGCUGGUUGGUAAGGUAACGGCUUACCAAGGCGACGAUGCGUAGGCGACCUGAGAGGCUGAUCGGCCACACUGGAACGUAGCCACGGUCCAGACUACUACGAGAGGGACCAGUAUGCAAUCUUACGCAAUAGGCGAGAGCAUGACGGAACGGCGCCAAGUGUGAGACGACAACCUUGUGAUCGGAAGGAUCUGCUUUUGGGGGAGAACAACUGUGGCAGUAACCAUGCACGUCUUGACGGUACUUAGUCAAAAAGCCACGGCUAACUACGUG
rnacentral:rRNA from 1 species